UGGAUAGUCCCAAAGAUGAAAGUCUUCUUAUCUAGGAAACAAUGCAGCCUGGACAAGUUACAGUGUGAGCUUCUCCUGAUACCACAGCUAUGUGCCUCAACUCAGACCUGGAGGGACCACCUUUCAGAGAUCAGAGAACAGUUCAAUGUACCUGUCUGUAUAAUACUUGG
rnacentral:sRNA from 1 species